GUCUCACAUUACCGAAGGGAUAGAUAUAGAAUUUGAAGCCCCAGGACUGUCUAGCUGGGUUCCAGUCACAGUGCCUUGAAUAUGGGUAUGGAAGGUAGGCAACCUCUUUGAACCAAGAUAAACUGAGACACCUUCUUCAACAGGUAUUUCCACUGGACCAGCCAAGCAAACAAAUACAUUUGGCCCAGACAGGCUUGGGCUGCCCUCAAUCCUAUAGGACUUAACUUGGUCUGUCAUGGACCAGUAGGGCAACAGCGUGGGAAAGGUGCUGCCUGUGAGCAUUAACAAGGCUCCUGCCCCAAGUUUGCCUGCUGCUUGUUAAAAAAGAGCCCAAGUUUCAGGAGGUCUUCAACCAUCUCAGGGGACCCAGUUGAACUUGAGCUGUCCCUCCUCCCUUUUUUCUCUGCCUAUUUUUACUCCUACCUUCCCAUCACAUACAUACACCCCAAAUCUCUGCUACAAAGUAUCCCCCCAAACACACAGAUACACCAUGUCUAUUCUCCUUUCCCAGUAGAACUCCUUGGCUCCUGGAAGACCGGUGACCCUGACAAGCAAAGCUGUAGACACUAUGAACCCAUCAAGAAUACCCAGGAACACAGGGUGUUUCUUUGCCCCAACAUCACUAAAACCCAAGAGAGAUCCACUUCAGGCAGCUCUUCCAACCCCCAAGAGACGGGGGUGUCUUUGUGAGAAAAAUUUCUCUAGAGCUUUGCUCCCUCAGACGAGACAUACAGAGCAACUUCACUACUCCGGGCACGGAGGACCCAGACUUGAUUUUACCCUUGUGAGGCUACAUCUCAGCUCUGCCGAUUCCCACUGUAUUCAUUUGCUAGGGCUGCCAUAAUAAAAUCUCACAGAAUUAAACAUAUUUACAUAUUUACUCUGGCCUGUGGCACUUGUAAAGAAAUUAUUGGCUGUUGACAAUAAUCUGAGUGGCAUAAACAACAGAAAUUCAUUUUCUCACAGUUCUGAGGGCUAAAAGUCCAAGAUGAAGGUACGAGGAGGUUUUGUCUCUUCUGAGCACUCUCUCCUUGGCUUGCAAAUGGCCGUCUUUUCGCUGUGUCCUCACAUGGCCUUUUCUCUGUGCAUGUUCCUCACCCCCACCCCCUGGGUCUGUAUGUCCAAAUUUCCUUUUCCUAUAAAGAUACCAGUCAGAUUGGAUUAGGGCCCUCCCUAAUGGCCUCGUUUUAACUUAAUUACCUCUUUAAAGGCCCUAUCUCCAAAUAGAGACACAUUCCAAUGAACGGAGAGAUUAGGACUUCGACAUACAAAUUUUGGAUAGAAUUCAGCCCUCAAUAUCUGCCUUAGCCAAAUCAUGUUCCCAUUCUGUGUCUUCAUUUUCCUCACCUUGAACCCAUUUCCAGGCCAGCGGCCUUUCUGAGGAAGACAGAUCUUCCUUCAGGAAGAUCUGUAUAAUGAAUGUCAAGAACAGAGUGGAAAGGAGUAAAAAACCCCUUGUGAGGUGUCCUUGAAAAGCCAGCAGCAUCUGAUGCCCAGCCAGGAACCAUUCUCUCUUUGGAAUGUCUCCUGACUUCCAAAGGUGUUGUUUAUAGAUUUUGAUUCAGACACUUCCAGAACUCAGCCGUCUGUCAGUUAAAUAAAGGAGACACAUUUCUGUCUCCA
ensembl:lncRNA